CCCAGAGCAACGCGCAUUCUGCUACUNNCUACCCUUUCACAGGUCCAGACAGAGUAAGGAUUGACAGAUUGAUAGCUCUUUCUUGAUUCUUUGGGUGGUGGUGCAUGGCCGUUCUUAGUUGGUGGAGUGAUUUGUCUGGUUAAUUCCGUUAAGCGAACGAGACUUUAACCUGCUAACUAGCUGCUUGGAUGUUGUCCUCGUUUGCUUCUUAGAGGGACUCCUGUGCUUCAAGCGUGGGGGAAGUUUAAGGCAAUAACAGGUCUGUGAUGCCCUUAGAUGUCCUGGGCUGCACGCGCGCUACACUGAUGCAUCCAUCGAGUUUGUCCUGUCCCGAAANGGGUCUGGGUAAUCUUUGGUGUGCAUCGUGUCGGGGAUUGAUUUUUGCAAUUCUAAAUCAUGAACGAGGAAUGCGUAGUAUGCGCAAGUCAUCAGCUUGUGCAGAUUACGUCCCUGCCUUGGGAACAAGGAUNC
rnacentral:rRNA from 1 species